rnacentral:lncRNA from 1 species
AUUUUUUAAAGAUUUUCACAUAUUUUGAAAGACAAAAUUUUUCAAGUGACUUUAAAGAUGCAAAAAAGAAAAGUUGGAAGUAUACAUGACAUCUUAUGCUUGACCUAAGGACACGUACUCCAGAGUCGUAAGUGAAUAAAGCGUUUAGUCUGAGUUUGAUUAUGUCAAAUUGACUUUUACAUGAUUCAUGAUGAAUACAAGACAUACAGCAAUUUCAAACAACAUUCCUAAAUUUUAGAAACAGUUUUACAAAUAAUACAUCGGAACCUCUAACAUUUGUGAAUGUUAUCACGAAUGCAUAUUUCUAUAAUUUUAUAAUUAGAAUCGCAAUAGUAUUUUUUCAU